AGUCAAUGAAGUCCCAUAGUCCAAAAGAUGUAAUGCUGUUUUCUCAUACUGAAUUAGAAGACAGAAUUGGAGGUGGAUUUGUAUGUGUAAAAAGUGGCAUUGAAGACCAUUGCACCUCUUGUUAUAUGUGUGAAUAUGCAUCUGGCACAGGAUAUAAUGUUCUAGACGAAUGGACCUCCUGACGGGAGCCUUCUGCAAAAUAUCUGAAGUGUGAACUUGACCCUUUGAGUGAAGUUUAUGGAUACUUUUUGGCUCUUCUGCCAUUGACUCUGCCAAGGUUCCAUACAAGGUUCCUUGUAUGAACUGACUUCAGUCCUGCUCUUUGAAAGCUUG